rnacentral:rRNA from 1 species
GGAUGGCGGCAGACUACACAUGCAGUCGAGCGGUAGCACAGAGAGAGCUUGCUCCUCUGGGUGACGAGCGGCGGACGGGUGAGUAAUGUCUGGGAAACUGCCUGAUGGAGGGGGAUAACUACUGGAAACGGUAGCUAAUACCGCAUAACCUCGCAAGAGCAAAGAGGGGGACCUUCGGGCCUCUCGCCAUCAGAUGUGCCCAGAUGGGAUUAGCUAGUAGGUGAGGUAAUGGCUCACCUAGGCGACGAUCCCUAGCUGGUCUGAGAGGAUGACCAGCCACACUGGAACUGAGACACGGUCCAGACUCCUACGGGAGGCAGCAGUGGGGAAUAUUGCACAAUGGGCGCAAGCCUGAUGCAGCCAUGCCGCGUGUGUGAAGAAGGCCUUCGGGUUGUAAAGCACUUUCAGCGGGGAGGAAGGCGGUGAGGUUAAUAACCUCAUCGAUUGACGUUACCCGCAGAAGAAGCACCGGCUAACUCCGUGCCAGCAGCCGCGGUAAUACGGAGGGUGCAAGCGUUAAUCGGAAUGACUGGGCGUAAAGCGCACGCAGGCGGUCUGUUAAGUUGGAUGUGAAAUCCCCGGGCUUAACCUGGGAACUGCAUUCAAAACUGACAGGCUAGAGUCUUGUAGAGGGGGGUAGAAUUCCAGGUGUAGCGGUGAAAUGCGUAGAGAUCUGGAGGAAUACCGGUGGCGAAGGCGGCCCCCUGGACAAAGACUGACGCUCAGUGCGAAAGCGUGGGAGCAACAGGAUUAGAUACCCUGGUAGUCCACGCUGUAAACGAUGUCGAUUUGGAGGUUGUGCCCUUGGAGGCGUGGCUUCCCGGAGCUAACGCGUUU